rnacentral:rRNA from 1 species
GACGAAGGGUCCUAGCGUUGUUCGGAAUUACUGGGCGUAAAGCGUGUGUAGGCGGCUCUAUAAGUCAGGUGUGAAAGCCCCGGAUUCAAUUCGGGAAGUGCACUUGAUACUGGAUGGCUUGAGUGUGGGAGAGGAAUGCGGAAUUCCAGGUGUAGCGGUGAAAUGCGUAGAUAUCUGGAGGAACACCGGUGGCGAAGGCGGCAUUCUGGACCAUUACUGACGCUGAGGAGCGAAAGCCAGGGGAGCAAACGGG